UCAUUUCCGUGAUUUGGUUCUAGG
rnacentral:piRNA from 1 species